CCUACGGGAGGCAGCAGUGAGGAAUAUUGGUCAAUGGACGAGAGUCUGAACCAGCCAAGUAGCGUGAAGGAUGACUGCCCUAUGGGUUGUAAACUUCUUUUAUAAAGGAAUAAAACGAGGCACGUGUGCCUUUUUGCAUGUACUUUAUGAAUAAGGAUCGGCUAACUCCGUGCCAGCAGCCGCGGUAAUACGGAGGAUCCGAGCGUUAUCCGGAUUUAUUGGGUUUAAAGGGAGCGUAGAUGGGUUGUUAAGUCAGUUGUGAAAGUUUGCGGCUCAACCGUAAAAUUGCAAUUGAUACUGGCAGUCGUGAGUACAGUUGAGGUAGGCGGAAUUCGUGGUGUAGCGGUGAAAUGCUUAGAUAUCACGAAGAACCCCGAUUGCGAAGGCAGCUUACUAAACUGUGACUAACAUUGAUGCUCGAAAGUGUGGGUAUCAAACAGGAUUAGAUACCCGAGUAGUC
rnacentral:rRNA from 1 species